rnacentral:rRNA from 1 species
AUUGAACGCUGGCGGCAGGCCUAACACAUGCAAGUCGAACGAGUGGCGGACGGGUGAGUAAUGUCUGGGAAACUGCCUGAUGGAGGGGGAUAACUACUGGAAACGGUAGCUAAUACCGCAUACCAUCGGAUGUGCCCAGAUGGGAUUAGCUAGUAGGUGGGGUAAAGGCUCACCUAGGCGACGAUCCCUAGCUGGUGUGAGAGGAUGACCAGCCACACGGGAACUGAGAAACGGUCCAGACUCCUACGUGAGGCAGCAGUGGGGAAUAUUGCACAAUGGGCGCAAGCCUGAUGCAGCCAUGCCGCGUGUAUGAAGAAGGCCUUCGGGUGGGAAAGUACUUUCAGCGGGGAGGCGUUACCCGCAGAAGAAGCACCGGCUAACUCCGUGCCAGCAGCCGCGGUAAUUC